rnacentral:rRNA from 1 species
AUGGUUUACUGCCUCACUCGGCUUGGGAAUGUCUAUGUGCUCCGCCUACCGGAACGCCGCCGUCGGGAACCAGUCAUCAUCGAGGACCAGACAUCAACAGAGGAUCUUGUAUCGCGUAACAGGCGCAUCAUUCGAAUGCACAAUGCCGGACCGGACCUGAACGCGCCGGCUAGCGUGCAACCACUGCUCUUGUCUUCGGUGAGCAGUUUCGCCCCACUGUACGUCGCUGUUUCGGCUUUCACGAGUGCCAAGAACCUGGUGUUCUGCAAUGGCAACCUGUACCAGAUCUGGAGGAAUGCUAGUUGUACGGUCACUUUGCAUCUGGCGGGAGGCGGUCAUCACCGUAUAGAGGAGGAUGAAAUAUUUGUUCUCAAGUAUGAUCCCCGGCGCAGGCCUUGCUGGGACGCGGUGGCUGACUUGGGGGGAUACUCGGUGUUUGUUGGGAGGAGCAAUGCGGUGUCGAUGCAUGCUGAAGGUGUUCCAGGGCUCAAGGGUAACUGUGUCUACUGGAUAGGUGGGCGAGGUAGGGAUCAAGGCAUGGUCUUUGACAUGGGGACCGGGAAAUCUAGACCUUGCCUCCCCCCUGCGGCUGGUGUCGUUCCGGGGCCUCAACAGUGCACAAUCUGCUGGUACUUUCUGAGGGAGGCAGUGAAUAACUGCAAUACAAAUGAAUUAGGUGUUUAUGGGACCCGAGCAAGGGUUCGUGCUCAACGUGCACAAGCCAUGUCACAGUGA